UGAUACAUAGCCCGAGUUGAGAGACUGAUCGGCCACAUUGGGGACUGAGACACGGCCCAAAACUCCUACGGGAGGCAGCAGUAGGGAAUCUUCCACAAUGGACGCAAGUCUGAUGGAGCAACGCCGCGUGAGUGAAGAAGGGUUUCGGCUCGUAAAAGCUCUGUUGUUGGUGAAGAAGGAUAGAGGUAGUAACUGGCCUUUAUUUGACGGUAAUCAACCAGAAAGUCACGGCUAACUACGUGCCAGCAGCCGCGGUAAU
rnacentral:rRNA from 1 species